UACGAAGGGGGCUAGCGUUGCUCGGAAUCACUGGGCGUAAAGCGCACGUAGGCGGAUUGCUAAGUCAGGGGUGAAAUCCUGGAGCUCAACUCCAGAACUGCCUUUGAUACUGGCGACCUUGAGUCCGGAAGAGGUGAGUGGAACUGCGAGUGUAGAGGUGAAAUUCGUAGAUAUUCGCAAGAACACCAGUGGCGAAGGCGGCUCACUGGCCCGGUACUGACGCUGAGGUGCGAAAGCGUGGGGAGCAAACAGG
rnacentral:rRNA from 1 species